rnacentral:rRNA from 1 species
GACGAACGCUGGCGGCGUGCUUAACACAUGCAAGUCGAACGGAAAGGCCCUGCUUUUGUGGGGUGCUCGAGUGGCGAACGGGUGAGUAACACGUGAGUAACCUGCCCUUGACUUUGGGAUAACUUCAGGAAACUGGGGCUAAUACCGGAUAGGAGCUCCUGCUGCAUGGUGGGGGUUGGAAAGUUUCGGCGGUUGGGGAUGGACUCGCGGCUUAUCAGCUUGUUGGUGGGGUAGUGGCUUACCAAGGCUUUGACGGGUAGCCGGCCUGAGAGGGUGGCCGGCCACAUUGGGACUGAGAUACGGCCCAGACUCCUACGGGAGGCAGCAGUGGGGAGUAUUGCACAAUGGGCGGAAGCCUGAUGCAGCAACGCCGCGUGCGGGAUGACGGCCUUCGGGUUGUAAACCGCUUUCGCCUGUGACGAAGCGUGAGUGACGGUAAUGGGUAAAGAAGCACCGGCUAACUACGUG